rnacentral:lncRNA from 1 species
GCUGCCUCCAGAACCACGCGGACAGAGGGAGGAGAGAGAGAGAGUUCGCGUCGGAGGAGAGAAGGAGCUCGUGCCUCACCGCGGUCACCCAUGGAGCCACGAGCUGCGCCGAUCGCCGCCGCGUCGCGUCGGAGAGGAAGCCCGAGACUGAGCGCCGCUGGGAGAGAGGAAGACGCGGGCUGGAGGAGCUGCAUCCAGUCGCCGCUGACGCGCCACUGACCACCGCCGUUUCGCCGUCGCCGAUGUCGCCGCUACAUCGCCGGACAUCAUCGCUGGAGGACCGAAUGGAGAAGCUCACCAGUUCUGCUUCUGCUUCUAGUUUCUGGAAUCUGAGAAGAAGCCACUGCCACCGCUGGAACUGUUGGUUUUGUUGCUCUGCCCUUGCUCUAGAUCCAUUCUGAUCCGUUACCAUCGCCGUUUGGCUGACACUGAAGCUUCCCACUGCCAAUGGAGCUGCCCGGAAACCCUGCUGUUGCUGCUCCGAUAAUUUAUUGUAAGCUAUCUGUAGUUUCAAUUUUAUUGAACUCAUUUCCAUUUCUGACUCCAUUGAAUUUGAACUCUAUUUUGUUGCCACCGUGGUUACUACUGCGAGAGUGAAGAAUGAAUCGGAAAUAAUGCUGCUGCCGUUGAUCGGAGAUGCCAAACUGUUGCUGCUACUACUUUGAGAUGAUAUGGCUGCUAUUAAGGUUGUUGUUCAUGAGUGCAGCAUUCCCAAUUUCUAUGGAUUUCGACACUUUGAGGUAGGGGAUUUAACGUUUUUAAUUUAGAAUGCUUACAAAGUUAUUUGGAUAAGUGCAAAUGGUUAACAAUGGUUAAGAAUCUCUUAGUUGACAUGAAUGACUUGAAAUAGGUUUGAAGUUAGUUAAUUGUUGUGAUGAUUUUGAGCUGUGAUUGAAUUUAGAUGCUGCUGUGUUUAAUGAUUAAUUUAGUAUAAUUUAUUAAAUUGAAAUAUGCCAAGUUAAUUAUUGAAAAGCUGUGGUAUGGAUAACUGAUGAAUUGAGUUUUGAUUAUUGCUGUGAAUGUAAUUAGUUUUGUUGUUAUGAGAGACUAAUUGAUAGAAAUAAGCUUGGUUUGAGGUUGUGAAAUUUGUAGUAAGUUUGAUGAUGUUUUAUUAGUGCUUCAAUUGGAUUAUUGAAUUCAGGUUAAGGCUGCGAAUGUCUUUGGGCUUUGUUGUGAGUGUUUGAAGUUGUAAUUGAUAUUGUUUUCUCUGAUAUGGAUGGAAUUGAGUUGAAUUAUAACUGUAGUUGGUGAUUGAUUUGAUGAUUGUGCUUACUGAAUGUGUAAGGAAUAGAAUAAAUGGUGUUACUUUUGUUGCUGAGCUUGCUGGUGUGAAUUGAUGAGUUAUUGUGUGUUUGAAUGAUGAUGAGUGUACAUGGAAAAUUAUGCUUGGCAUAGUGUAGAAAAGAAAAGGUUUGAUGAUGCUUAAGUACUUGACAUCGUGUGAAUUAUUGAUUCUGGGUUCUUGGGCUGUGUUGGCAAUGAAGACAAUUUUGAAUAACUGGAAAGAGGUUAAACGUGUGAUUUUGGAAGGGUUAUAAGUUCAAAUGUGGUUUUUGAUAAGUAAGGUUGUUGAAAAUGCUUAAGGCAGAAUUUCUGCAUACAUGACAGUAGAAAGAAUCAAUUUCUGGGAGCAUCCCAGGUCAUAUACUUGAAUGAAACUAUUUUUGCAUGAAACUUUACUGUGUUUUGAGCAUCUCAUAAAAAAUUCAGAAUUUAUUGAUGAGUAUUUUGAGAGAAAUGAACUUUUUGAAGAUUGAUGGUUUCUGCAGAAAAUUCUGUUUCUUUACUGCAGAAGCACCAACUUCCAACUCACUUAACUUUCAAUUCUGGUAAGUAUUUGAGCUGAAACUAACGGCAUUUUCAAGCUUCCUGUGUCCACAAUCUUCAUUUUAAAUUUCAUGUCAAUA